GACGAACGCUGGCGGCGUGCUUAACACAUGCAAGUCGAACGGAAAGGCCCCUUUGGGGGUACUCGAGUGGCGAACGGGUGAGUAACACGUGAGUAACCUGCCCUUGACUUCGGGAUAACUUCAGGAAACUGGAGCUAAUACCGGAUAGGAAUCCUUGCUGCAUGGUGGGGGUUGGAAAGCUUCGGCGGUUUUGGAUGGACUCGCGGCUUAUCAGCUUGUUGGUGGGGUAGUGGCUUACCAAGGCUUUGACGGGUAGCCGGCCUGAGAGGGCGACCGGCCACAUUGGGACUGAGAUACGGCCCAGACUCCUACGGGAGGCAGCAGUGGGGAAUAUUGCACAAUGGGCGGAAGCCUGAUGCAGCAACGCCGCGUGCGGGAUGACGGCCUUCGGGUUGUAAACCGCUUUCAGCAGGGGCGAAGCUUGUGGUGACGGUACCUGCAGAAGAAGCACCGGCUAACUACGUG
rnacentral:rRNA from 1 species